AGGUGCAUAGCUCAGUGAUAGAGCCUGUGCUUACCACGCAUGAGGUCCUGGGUUCAAUCCCCAGUACCUG
rnacentral:tRNA from 1 species